UCUAUCUUUACAGAUUGGCUGCCUAAGAUAAAUCUACCUAUCUAGAAUCUGCACUAAAGUGUUGAAUCAACACAGAAAACCAAAACAGUCGAAUAACAAAUGUUACUCGAACAAAGCAGUCUGCUACGCUCCAAUGUCCUCGAUCUUUAACCCUUACCCUUGACCUCCCGUCAAUACAGAGUAAGCCUUUACAGAUUGGCUGCCUAAGACUCCUCCGUCAAAGCAAGGUUUGAAGAACUGGUGUCAUGUUUGCAGCAAGACAAAAGUGACGAGUUGGUUGUGAGCGAAUGUUAGGUCGGUGAAAACGCACUCCCAAAACGUAAGGAUGAAUGAGGCUUCUUGCUGCUUUUAUAGACCUUCAUGUCGUGGUUAGUUUCCUCCACUUCCCACUUCCAGAAGCUUCCAAUAACCGCUGCAAUCCACCUCCGAAAACUGCCAGUCGACCAGUCUGGAAUGUUGGUUGAGAGAUCAUGGGUCCUGAAAAGUAGGAACUAACAGCCCACCACUUUGGACCAUGAUAAACCACCUUUCCACUUAUUAAAAACGUGGUCAACAAGCAUAAAACCUUUAUUCCACAACCAAAGAAUAAUAAAA
rnacentral:lncRNA from 1 species